ensembl:snRNA
GUGUUGUAUGAAAGGAGAGAUGGUCAAUACUCUCCUGAAAAGGAUGGAGGAGUUCCCUCAACAUGGAUACAGUUAAUGUAUUGCCACUUCAUGGCAUCUAACCAUCUUUUUAA